AGAGUACGUGAAACCGUUCAGGGGUAAACCUGAGAAACCCAAAAGAUCGAAUGGGGAGAUUCAUCGUCAACGGUGCUGGCUCCCGUUGGUGUGCGAUGCUCCGAAUGGGCCCUCGCGGCUCCAUGGCGAGAGCACGCCACCUUCGGCUUGAAUGUCCGGACACCGUAGUCGUGCACUUCUCCCCUAGUAGAACGUCGCGACCCGUUGCGUGUCGGUCUACGGGGCCCGAGUGGGAGCCUGUCGCGUCACUUUACGUGUACGCGGCCAGACCCUCGGCUGGCCUGACCGGCUGCGCGACGGUACUCACACGGUAUCGGGCCGCAACCAAUCCAUUCUCGAAUGUAUGUGCGUCUCAGGCCCGCCGCAAGCUAGGACAGUUUUACCCGUAGGUACGGACCUGGUGCCGUCCACGGGCCUGUCCAGCUGCUGUUAGCAGGCGGUGUCCUCGGAUUGGCCAAGCUUUGAAUUACCGGUCGGCGACGCUCCUGCUUUGGGUACUCUCAGGACCCGUCUUGAAACACGGACCAAGGAGUCUAACAUGUGCGCGAGUCAUUGGGAUUGAUAAACCUAAAGGCGAAAUGAAAGUGAAGGUUGACCUCUGCGUCGACCWAGGGGGAUGGGCCGCGUCACGAUGCGGCCUCGCACUCCCGGGGCGUUUCGUUCUCAUUGCGAGAAGAGGCGCACCUAGAGCGUACACGUUGGGACCCGAAGGGGGGGGAAAAAAAAA
rnacentral:rRNA from 1 species